rnacentral:rRNA from 1 species
AGUGAACGCUGGCGGUAGGCCUAACACAUGCAAGUCGAACGGCAGCACAGUAAGAGCUUGCUCUUACGGGUGGCGAGUGGCGGACGGGUGAGGAAUACAUCGGAAUCUACUUUUUCGUGGGGGAUAACGUAGGGAAACUUACGCUAAUACCGCAUACGACCUACGGGUGAAAGCAGGGGAUCUUCGGACCUUGCGCGAUUGAAUGAGCCGAUGUCGGAUUAGCUAGUUGGCGGGGUAAAGGCCCACCAAGGCGACGAUCCGUAGCUGGUCUGAGAGGAUGAUCAGCCCCACUGGAACUGAGACACGGUCCAGACUCCUACGGGAGGCAGCAGUGGGGAAUAUUGGACAAUGGGCGCAAGCCUGAUCCAGCCAUACCGCGUGGGUGAAGAAGGCCUUCGGGUUGUAAAGCCCUUUUGUUGGGAAAGAAAAGCAGCAGGUUAAUACCCCGCUGUUCUGACGGUACCCAAAGAAUAAGCACCGGCUAACUCCGUG